ACGGGAGGCAGCAGUGGGGAAUAUUGGGCAAUGGGCGCAAGCCUGACCCAGCAACGCCGCGUGAAGGAAGAAGGCUUUCGGGUUGUAAACUUCUUUUAUCAGGGACGAAGAAAAUGACGGUACCUGAAGAAUAAGCCACGGCUAACUAUGUGCCAGCAGCCGCGGUAAUACGUAGGCGGCAAGCGUAGUCCGGAUUUACUGGGUGUAAAGGGCGCGUAGGCGGGAUGACAAGUCAGGUGUGAAAUCCAUGGGCUUCACCCAUAAGCUGCACUUGAUACUGCCAUUCUUGAGUGUCGGAGAGGUAGAUGGAAUUUCUCGUGUAGCGGUGAAAUGCGUAGAUAUUAGGAGGAACACCAGUGGCGAAGGCGAUCUACUGGACGAUAACUGACGCUGAGGCGCGAAAGCGUGGGGAGCAAACAGGAUUAGAUACCCUGGUA
rnacentral:rRNA from 1 species